rnacentral:rRNA from 1 species
AUCUGGCUGUCGAGAUGCCUAAAAAGCAUUUCAUAGCAAGGGCCGGGCAAGACCGGUGCCAGCCGCCGCGGUAACACCGGCGGCUCGAGUGGUAACCGUUAUUAUUGGGUCUAAAGGGUCUGUAGCCGGCCGGAUAAGUCUCUUGAGAAAUCUGGCAGCUUAACUGUCAGGCUUUCAGGAGAUACUGUCUGGCUCGAGGCCGGGAGAGGUGAGAGGUACUUCAGGGGUAGGGGUGAAAUCUUGUAAUCCUUGAAGGACCACCAGUGGCGAAGGCGUCUCACCAGAACGGACCUGACGGCAAGGGACGAAAGCUAGGGGCACGAACCGGAUUAGAUACCCGGGUAGUCCUAGCCGUAAACGAUACUCGCUAGGUGUCGGCCACGGUGCGACCGUUGUCGGUGCCGUAGGGAAGCCGUGAAGCGAG